CGAGGCUGAACCACAAAGUGAAAGGAUUUUCUUAGCUUGUGAGAUUUGCCACUUGGACUGGACUAUAGGGAGACUGGAAUCAAAUUGUGUGAACCCUUUCCUGUGGAGAGACCACUGUUUGUUUUCUACAAAGGAGAAAGGCCCUAACAUGGCAUUGGUCUUCAGCUUGUCCACUCUCAUGUUUCUCCUCAUCACUGGGACGGAGACAUCCAAAAUCCUGAAGCAGGUCAUCCAGGUGGACUCUGGGAAGAAUACAGUGCUCUGUGAACUUCAAUGGGAUAUCUCCUGGUAAUGUUAACAUAGAGCUGGUCGUGUGGUGGAGGUUGGACUAGAAUGGUCUUCGCAAAGGUGAACCUGUGUUCAAAUACAACCUAUCCAAUCAACAAUCCUCAAAUCCCAGGAUGCCACUGAGCCCAAAAUAUCAGCUUCCCAUACCACCUGCCAAUGAGAAAGACAAAGUUGUGUCCCUGUUGGUCAAAGAAACCCAGCCUGAAGACGAGGGUCCGUAUGAGUGUGUGGUGAACACUUGACAGUGGAAUCACAAAUUGUAACUUCAUGCUGAAUGUCACAGGUAACCUCAACAGUACAAGACCAGCACUGAAAAGGAGAUUCCAAAGAACAGUUACAUGAGUGUGGCUGCUGUAUGUGUGGUAGUAGGCUCUCUUGCCAUUGGACUGCUGCUUCUCAAGCUGUUUCAAGCCAGAAGACUCAGACAAGGACAAUGACCCAAAAAGCACCCCCAAGCUGUGUAAGGACUAUUUGACCAAGAAGGAGA